CUGAGAACCAGACCGCUCAGCCUCCUGGUGGCCCGCAGCUUCCCACAGCCCAACACCUUCCCAGGGCCGCAGCUUAGGGGAGACCAGGGAUGUAUCUGGAGGUGGCAGAAGCCAGCCUCACAGAUGACAUGGUUUACAGACUUGGUGACUGGAACUUAAAUGGCAUGCUGGUAGUGUGCACAGCUUCUGCGUGGAGCCUUGCCCCUCAUCCCCCUUCUCUAGGCUGAGCACAGUGGUGGGUGAGUGGGAUGCAGACUAAGUCUUCAUGCAUCCUCUCUGCCGUAAGUCUCAAUAUCUCAUUCUGUUCUAUCUGGGUGCUGCUGAAGGAGACGCCUGAAAGCAUUCCUCACCAAGGAAACUUGUACUUGUCUCCUACCAGCUCCUCUCCUAGGUUGUAGCUUUUCUUAAAUAACAAUCGGAGGUCAUUUUCACUAUUUAUUACAAGAUGCCAUUGUCUCUGAAUAUUCUUUCUGUAGGUGUGAAGGAGAAGCUUGAUGGGGCCCUUGACAUAUUGAAUAUGGCUUUCAGUAUAUUACCCACAGGCUUCUGCUUCUUGUCACUCUUGCUGUUUCUCUCUAUGGAAUCUACAG
rnacentral:sRNA from 1 species